UUUGAUGUUUGUUAAUGGCCAGGCUGAAAGUUUUAAUGUACCCUUUUGUAUGUUAAAGGGUGUUCCGGUAGUACAAAAUUGUAUGUAUUUAUCGAUCCUGUUUAAAGAAGUAAUAGAAGUACAUUUAUUUACCAGAUUUACAUUUAUUCAGUAUAUUGGAAAUAAUACAUUUGGCAGAUUUAUUUAGAAGUUCGAUAUUUGACGUUUAACCUUUUGACAUUUUGACAAAAUUUAAGGAAGAUUGCAGUGUGUUUAUCCAGGCAAAUGAUUUUUUUUUAUUGAAGGAAAUAAGGACGGUAAUAGAUUUUAUUUUAUUUUAUGGGAGAAAACAAGAAAGAACAAGGUACAAUUUAGAUUGGGUUAAGGGGUCUAAAAAGGGGACUAAAAUACAAUGAUUUUUAUAUUUA
rnacentral:lncRNA from 1 species